UUGAGUCUUUUGACAUCCAUCACCAGAUUUGCAUGUUGCAGAACAGUUGAAAGCACAAACCAUAGACAUUAUUAAUAGGUGCAGUGUACUUCGACAACUUCGCUGUAAAGAUAAGAAAAACUGGAAUGUCAACGAAGCAACCAACAUAAUGGAAACAUCAAGGUGAAAGUGCACGAUUCAGUCUCACCCUUACUUAGCAGCAGAAGCCUUCUGAGCACUAGCAUCUGCACAGUGUCCACAGUUUGGCAUUCCACACACACGGCUAAAACAGUCCUAAAUCUUCCAUGAACAAUUGAAAAAUGGAAUUGACUUUUAGUCAUUCAAGUCCAGAAGGAUUCUAAUACAUAAACCAUAAGAAAGAGUUGUUUCUGUUAUUUGGUCCACAGAACAGAAGCUUAAAAAGCAUAUUUCUUGAAUUUCAGGUGGAUAAUUAAUGGUUUAUUUUUCAGGUUUAAGUUAGACUGAUUAAAUCACUUCAAGGCCUUAAAUUAUUUUCAAUGACUUCUCUUGUUCAUAUAAUGUUUUAAUUUUUUUAUUGUGCCUUGUCAUUUUGACCAAUGCUAUGCAGGAUUAUAUAAACUAGCUUUAUAAUGCAGUAAUAUUGAUAAGUGAAGAUAUUAAGUUUCAAAAGGAUCUUUUAUUUUGAAAAAUAAAACUGAAUUUUAUAGGGUUUGUCCUACGCUGUCUCAAGGUUUAAGAUUAAAUUCUCUUUAAAAGCACUCGUAUUGGAGUUUACCAGUAAUGUCUUCAAUCUAAGUUCUAUAAAUAUGAGAGAACCUACUUACCUUCCAAGUAAGUUACAGCAAUACACUGCUUCAAUUCUAAUUUAUUUUUUAUUUCAAGGGGCAAAUAAACAAUGAGUUGGCCCAGAUUUUUAGUGAAAAUUGUGAUGUUUGUCUUGUAUGUUAACUGUCCAAUAAACUGUGGGUUUAUCUAAGUUUACAAUAUAUGAGAAUUGAAUGAGGUUUAAAUAUCAUGAAGAAAGCAUGUAUUGUGUGGAACUAGUUUUUUUUUAAUUUACAGUGACCUACAUUUAUAUGUACAUGUUAAGAGUAAGUAUGACCAAAUGUAAAUUUAAUGAGUGGGUCAAUUAGCAAAGAUAUAUAUAUAUACAUAAUAUGUAUAUACACACUUUCAUUUUUACUGUGUAACUUUGUAUGCUGAAUGGUACAUAUUUAUUUUUGCUUUUGAGAUAAUUAAUAAGGUAGAAUUAAUUGUGUUUUAAUACUUGAAAGAAAUUUUUAAAA
rnacentral:lncRNA from 10 species